rnacentral:tRNA from 1 species
GCCUGGGUGGCUCAGUCGGUUGAGCAUCCGACUUCAGCUCAGGUCACGAUCUCACAGUUUGUGAGUUCGAGCCCCACAUCAGGCU